rnacentral:lncRNA from 1 species
GCAGUGGCGAGCACGGGGGCGGUGGCGGCGGCGGCGAGGACGGGGGCGGUGGCGACUGGAACGCACGGUUUCAGCCCCGGUAGCCCCUGCACAUUCCCUUGUGUUUGGGCCACAGCUCGCGGUAGUGUCCCCGUUCCCACGGGGCCCCGCCGCCCUGAGUUCAUCUUCGGGCGCUUGUCCGCGUCCUCGCCCCUCACCUGAGCCCGAACUUAGCGAGGCCGUCGCCUGACAGCCCUGGCGGGUGUGGAGACCCCUGCGUGGACCCGGGACCGCGGGCCUCGGCCGGGGCGGCGGGAGGGACGCCGGAAGUAGCGGGCAGUGCCGCAGCGCAGGUCACCAGCCGUGUGGUUUCUCCUUCCACAGGAACCCUUCACACGGGGAACGCGUGUGCGUCUGUCCGCUCCUCCGGAAAUGGCCAAGUGGGCUUUGAACACAUUGCCUCCUGUUUGCCAUGCAGGUGAUCUAGCCAUGCUUCCAGACCUAUCUCAACAGUUUUGAGGUUUGUUUGUUGGUUUAUAUUCACUCGGACAGUCCAAGAUAGUCUCUUGCAUCCAUUGGUAAGAAAACGUUGGGCUAGACCUAUGAUCUCAUUGAGGCCAUUUGUUUGUUUCUUUGUUGUUGUUUGCAUUGCUGUUUUUGUUGAUUUCAUUAAGCCAAAAUGCUUUGUGUCUGCUUGAAGGUAGAAGUUUCUUACAGAAUCCAAUAGCUUGGUUGAGGUACUUUUUGGAGGGAUAAGAGUUUCAGUGCUCACAGAAUUCAUUGGGAUGCAUUCUAGACAUGGUGUUUUAAGUUUGUGAGGGAUGAUUCAAAACCAUCUCCACUGGAGAGCUCUUCUACCUGAUGGAAACAUGAGGAACAUGAUAUCCCUACUCCCACCGAAAUGAUAAGGACCACUAAAUAACAGUGCUUUGAAACUUUAGGUUUAUUUAAUUACAAUAGUCAGUGUGUUUGCAUUUGUUUUGACUUAGCUUGCAAUAUUCAACAUUAGUGGAAUUUUUACCACAUUUACAAAAAUUUCUGGAUACUAAGUCAUUUGCUAGAUUCCCUUCAUAUUUAAAUUUUUAUUUUGUUACUAAGCUAGCAAUAAAUUCAUAACACAUUGUGAUAUGAAGAAAAGG